UACAGAGGUCCCAAGCGUUGUUCGGAUUCAUUGGGCGUAAAGGGUGCGUAGGUGGCGCCGUAAGUCGGGUGUGAAAUUUCGGAGCUUAACUCCGAAACUGCAUUCGAUACUGCGGUGCUUUGAGGACUGGAGAGGAGACUGGAAUUCAUGGUGUAGCAGUGAAAUGCGUAGAGAUCAUGAGGAAGACCAGUGGCGAAGGCGGGUCUCUGGACAGUUCCUGACACUGAGGCACGAAGGCCAGGGGAGCAAACGGG
rnacentral:rRNA from 1 species